AAUCAACCGAGAUUCCCCCAGUAGCGGCGAGCGAACGGGGAGCAGCCCAGAGUCUGAAUCAGCUUGUGUGUUAGUGGAAGCGUCUGGAAAGUCGCACGGUACAGGGUGACAGUCCCGUACACGAAAAUGCACAGGUUGUGAACUCGAAGAGUAGGGCGGGACACGUGGUAUCCUGUCUGAAUAUGGGGGGACCAUCCUCCAAGGCUAAAUACUCCUGACUGACCGAUAGUGAACCAGUACCGUGAGGGAAAGGCGA
rnacentral:rRNA from 1 species